GGGCACCUUCAUAGAAAAUAUUCACUCACGGCGGCUCCUAGCAUGUAAACACCUCGCCUACGUAUCACAACGGCGACAACGGCGGUUGCACGACAGCAUUUAACGAUGACGAUGAGAUGGGCGUCUUAGGCCGAGAACCUUCGACAUGUAAGACCAGAUUCAUGGGAAGCUCGCCUUCUUCUGUUGGAUUCCAGUUGACCAUCAUCUAUCCUUGGAGUCGUCUUCCACGCCGUUAGUUUACAGGGGUGAGAGCCAUGCAUCAGUACAAGGAUCCAUGUUCUUUCCAAUUGAUGUUGAAGCCUCAACUCCAAGGGCCAGCAGUAUGCGCACUCGGAUAACUGCGGUGAUUGAAUCCUUCCCGUCGGCGACAUACGUAUAUGCAUCCCCAUUCAGGCGUUCAAGAGAGGCGCUAGAAACUACUCACAUCAGCAUGGCAUCACAAUCCCCACCAUUAAUUCAGCUAAUCCUGCGCUCCCACCGAGUCACCUACAUCAUGAGUUGCUUCUCACAAACUGUUCAGAUGAACAAACUUGUCUUUUUUGUAUCUUACAGCAAACUGCAGCAGAUUUGAGCUUUGGAAAAGAAGUGUGUAUUGACAUCUGUCGGAACGUAUUCAGAUUGGUCGCAAUAUAUAAUCUUCUGUACUGUAAUCUAUUUUUAUUGUAAAUAUAUGCCCCAACUGGGGAGUGGAUGUAAAAGCAAGUGUGUACUUCUAUUUAUUAUUUGGUACAGAUACCUCUCCUUUUUUGAAGCAGUAUAUACUUCUUUAAUUU